GAAAUUGACUCAAGAGGCAUGUUCUGCAAGUAAGGAUCGGACUGUUUAACCUUAGCGAUUUCAUACACGUGCCGAAGUGAAAGAGUUGUGGCGGUCACGUGACCUGGACGAGUACUUCCCGAUUCGAUGCCGGCGGCUUUCUUGAGGUACCACGUGACGGAAGGAGAUUUAACUGUGAAAUCAAACGUGUUAUCUUUGUAAGCUGUUAUUGUAACCGACAUUGGAGUAUCUGCCUUGAAUUUCUGAGUUCGUGCGUUGAAGUCUUUGCAGAACGCCAUUAGGUUAAGUCGGUAUUGACCUAACGCUGGUCCCACUGGUGGCGCUGGACGUGCGGCACCUGCCGGAACUCUCAAUCGGAUCGUCGCUGCUACCGCCUUAGGAACGCUCAUCGUCGACGACUGGAAGUGGUUGUGGUGGUUUGGGUUUGAGAUUGAUGAGAGCAGCCACACAACCAUUGAGGGUUUAACCUUCCUUGUUCAUAAUUUGGGCUGGGCUGGGCUGGGCUGCUCAAAUAUCAUUUUAUGGGCUGGGUACUUCUUUUUCAAAAACAACUACAAGCUCUUGAAAACUUCUUUUUCCACUCUAGAUUUUUUUUUUCAACUUUUAAAUUUUAUUAGUCAAAAUAGUCAAUUUAAAUAUGUAUUUAUAUCUAUAAUCUACCUCUAAAAUGUCUUGCACUAAAACAAGUAGUACUGAUAAAGGUUAAAAAAAGUCAUUAUAUAUACAUAGCGUUUUAGCAGAUUCAUUUAUACUUUGAUUGUAAUUAUUGAAUUCCAUGAUAAAAAUACAUUUUUAAUUUAUUAGUUACCCCAUUUUUGUUUGUCUGUUCCAAGGACACAAGUUUGGUUCAAAGGAGGGGAGGGAGGAGAGGUUUUUAAUGGCUUUGUGUUUGGUUCAAAGGGAAGAGAGGGAUUUUUAAUGGUAUUUAAGUUACAUGGAGCUCCUCCCCUCCCUCCAAAUCCUCCCAAAAUGGAGAGAAAGCAAAAUAAAUUCUAGAAGGGAUUUUGGCUCCCUCUUCUUCCCCCUCCUAAAAAUUAAAUCAAACAUAAAAACUUAAAAAUAUUACACCUCCCCUUCAUCUACCUCCAACCAAACACACCCUAAUUGAAGUCUUUAUAGAAACAAGACCUACAAAUCAGUUUCAGUUUCUUCCACUAAACUUGUAUUGUAUUCAACAGAAGACAUAAAAACACAACAAAACCAUGGUAAGCAUAUGAAAAACAGAGCAAAACAUGGCUGCAUUUUGAAACAGAAUCAACAACAUUUAACAAUAUUAUUCCAAAACUCGCAAAAGCAAAGUUUGAAUUCCCUUGAUGAAUUCAAUCAAGGUCUUUAACGAUUUUGAUUCCCAUGCUACUAGCAGUACCAAUAAUAGACUUGGAAAUUGACUCAAGAGGCAUGUUCUGCAAGUAAGGAUCGGACUGUUUAACCUUAGCGAUUUCAUACACGUGCCGAAGUGAAAGAGUUGUGGCGGUCACGUGACCUGGACGAGUACUUCCCGAUUCGAUGCCGGCGGCUUUCUUGAGGUACCACGUGACGGAAGGAGAUUUAACUGUGAAAUCAAACGUGUUAUCUUUGUAAGCUGUUAUUGUAACCGACAUUGGAGUAUCUGCCUUGAAUUUCUGAGUUCGUGCGUUGAAGUCUUUGCAGAACGCCAUUAGGUUAAGUCGGUAUUGACCUAACGCUGGUCCCACUGGUGGCGCUGGACGUGCGGCACCUGCCGGAACUCUCAAUCGGAUCGUCGCUGCUACCGCCUUAGGAACGCUCAUCGUCGACGACUGGAAGUGGUUGUGGUGGUUUGGGUUUGAG
rnacentral:lncRNA from 1 species